UUUGCUGAUUGCCAAACAGACUGCACUAUCUGGAUCCAAAUCCCAGGGACUUCGCUAAUUCUUCAGGAGGACAGUUCAACCACCUUUAUCAAGAAAGACAGUUACAGAAUCUGAUUAAAAUGUGUUUCCUUUUAUCAGAAAGAAACCUACUAGCAAACUUUCCAAGGAUCUGACCUCUUGAAAACACUGGAUGGCUAAGAGAUGCCUGACCAGGAAAGCCAUUACUUUCUUACUGCAGGAAUGUGCCAGCACAGGGGGGUCUUUUCAAAAGUGAGGUGGAAAUUCAGGAUAAAACCAGGAGAUUUAAAGUAGGGUGAUCUGGAGAAUGACAAAAAGAUCAGAGAGGGGUGGGGAGGAUUAUGGAAGAAAGGAGAAAAGAUGAGCUGAGCUGGAGGAGAGGGUAAAGUCUUUCCAUAGAUUUAAAUAAGCUUUGGGCAAUUAUCUGAACUUCCAAGGGAAUUAUCUGAACCACGCAUCUAAAUUUGUUGAGAUUCCUUCAUUGUAGCUAGUAUCUGGUUAAGGUUUGCAAGGUAAACUCGCUUUCUUGUGCCAUGAGUGGCUUACAAGUCAAAAAAGAUUCAGUGAAAUCUUCAAAGUAAAGCUGUGCUCGCCAAAGCAAUUUGCAGGCCUGUUUACAGCUGUCCCAUCUGUCUCCUAGGCUGGCUCCACGGAUGCGAACUUUGGACACCACAUCUGUUGUUUGAACGCGGAUCUCAUCUUGUCAAAAGGAACAAGGGGGCCCUCUGGCCCACGAUUUUAGUCAAUACCUUAGCAAGGACUUCAGAAGCUUCCCUACAAGAGAGAAGUUCUCCAAGCAACUCGUGGACAGUGAAAUAAUUAAAGAGAUCCACAAGCAUAACGCUUGCCAGAAACAUCAUUAGAAGCAUCAUUUGGAAUUCCGUAUUAUAACGUGGCUCAGCACGUUAAACACACCCAGACACAAAUAAAUUUGAAGCACUCGGAUAAUCGGCUUGUAAAUUGAAACAGAUAACGAGAAGGGAGAAUUUGGCAAAGAGCUCGGAGUCAGGAGAAGAGGCAAAUUCCCCAGGGCUCUCCCAAAGGCUCCCUUUAUGGAUGUUUGAAUUUGGGCCUUACUCCGCAUAGUAGAUGGCAGCAUAAGUUCAGUUGGACACAGAAGGUGCGCUUACGAAACGGACAGAAAUGAAAUCUGAGAGAAAUACGCGGGCCCUUUGUGAGGUGUGGAGAUACAUUUCGAAAAGAGCCCUGGGAACAAGGAAAGGAAGUUUAUGGGAAACAUUUAAAAGGAGCAAUCACCUGGGCCCAGGUACCAUUACUUUUCUCUCCUUACUAAUUUUAUGAAGUGUUUUGACUGAGAAACAAACCCUCGUACACACAACACACACAUCUGUUGUCUGAAGGGCCCCUCACGGCCCUCCUGAUGCAGAUUGUUUCAUACGAGGUUGACGGGACAACUGUUCGAUUUCCGGUGGUUUCACAUUUUUUGUGGUUUUAUUUUAGACGGUACGUUGUCAGAUCCCAUCAUCUUUAGCAAUCGGUUGUUUUCGCAGAAGCGAAUUUAACUUUCAUGCAUUGGUUGCAUUUCCUUCCUCAGUUACUAAUUACCGAAGAUUAAUGUUUUCAAACGAGGCCUUCUCUCCAUGUAAUCCAUCUCUCCUUCCUGCUUCCAUCCAGCAGGAAGCCUGCGGAAAGAGGUCAUAAUCCUCUGGUUUGCGACGCUAUCGUCUCUGACACCGGGGAUGUUUCGUGUGCAGUGACUGCAGUCAGAAUCUUUGUGAGCAACUGGAAAGUGGAGAUGGUGGGGGGAAAAAAAAUUAAAGUAGGUUUUCUUCGGUGGGUGAAUGAACUGGGCUGGAUUCUUGGCUCAGCGCGGGAAGGACCUGCCUUUCAAAGGACGGCCUUGACGCUCACUGACGCGCAAUGUGCCACACCGUGCGGUACCCUGUUAACUCUACCCAAGCGCCAGUUUCUUUACUAUCCACUUCCUGUCUCUCAGUCACGCUGACUCUAUGAAUUAUAACCCAGACAGUAGUGCUCUUCCUGGGCUGGGCCCUCCUGGAAAUUUCUCCUGUCUUGCGGACAUGCAGGUAUGGAUCAGUUGUUGUCUAUGUCCAUGCAAUUAUCCUUUUUGAUAUAUGCACUCCUAUUACUUUUAUAACUUUUUGGGCAACUUUUAUAAUUUUAUGACAAUUAGCAGGUUCCAUUUCAAAAUCCUUUUAGUGGGUCACCUCGGUGGCUCAGUCGGUUGAGUGUCUGACUUCGGCUCAGGUCAUGAUCUCACGGUUCAGUUCCUGAGUUUGAGCUCGGCUUCAGGCUCUUUGCUGAGAGC